GUUGAAUAUUAUUCAAAUUCAUUGGAGCGAAUGCUUCCUGAAUUCCCUAUACGUGUUAAAAAUCCAGAUUAUGAUGGAGUUAAUUGGUUAAACAAGUUUGUAGAAAUGAUGUGGCCUUAUUUGGACAAGGCAAUUUGCAAAAUGAUCAAGGAAAUUGCCGAACCAGUUAUUGCUGAGAACACUGGGAAGUGGAAAAUUAGCUCGGUCGAGUUUGCAGAACUCACAUUAGGAUCACUACUA